UACGGAGGGGGCUAGCGUUGUUCGGAAUUACUGGGCGUAAAGCGCACGUAGGCGGCUUUGUAAGUUAGAGGUGAAAGCCCAGGGCUCAACCCUGGAAUUGCCUUUAAGACUGCAUCGCUUGAACAUCGGAGAGGUAAGUGGAAUUCCGAGUGUAGAGGUGAAAUUCGUAGAUAUUCGCAAGAACACCAGUGGCGAAGGCGGCUCACUGGCCCGGUACUGACGCUGAGGCACGAAAGCGUGGGGAGCAAACAGG
rnacentral:rRNA from 1 species